UCAUCACAGUUUCCAGAGGGCUGAGACUAGACCACAAAAGAGGCAGCACCCUCGGGUUUUUUACCUGUUAUCUGACACCAUGAUCUAACGCUCUGCUGAGUCACAAGACGGAAUGAACAAGGACGUGGAAAUGGUUCCCAUACUGCAGAAACUUGAACCUGACGGCAAAAACCGCACACUGUCAGUAACACAGGGUUAUCUUUCUGCAUUUUAAUCUGACUGCAUUUUAAUCAAGCAGAGAUGAAAAGAGUUCAGAGAUUUAUGGAUAAAGUAACAUGCCAUCAGCCUGUAUAUUUAUUGUGUGAGUAAAAGACAUGGU